CCUGAGCAGGGGCAGGGAGCCGGGCCAGGUGGCUGCCCCUUCCCAGCCUGUGGGGGUCGGUGCCAUCCACCCCCUGGGUCCCCGCCCGCGAGGCCCGGGUGUCAGGCCGAGGGACCGGGAGUAAGGCGGCCCCUCUGUCAGGGAGACUCCAGGUGUGGGAGCGGCGGGCUCCUUCCUGAUGCUUUGCGGUCCGGUGGCUUGGAUGCUACCCAUUGUCACCACAAACAAAAGGGAACAAGAGUCCUGCAAGGAAUCGGAGGAUUUACAUGGUACCCCCUGCAAUGGAGGGCUCUGAGUCUUUAACCCAUCGCAGGCCCAGCUGACACUGCAUUCAGGGAGUGUUCAAGUGUUUGACAUGCAAUUAACCGUACAGAAGAGCAGGGAACAGCAUCCAGAGUGAAGAAAGGGGGUAAUGGUGAACAGAAAUAGAAGCUCAUUUGUUUUCAAGCUGGAAAGUGGAAAAAGGAAAACACACCAUUCACACCUGGGUGUGGGGCCUUCUCAACAGGAUUUUACCAUAUAUGUUUUGAGUCGACUGAUAAAAUACAAUUUCAUAUCAUCCAAUCAACAUUUCUGUUACUGAAAGGGUAAUUUCUGCCAUGGGGAACGUGUUCCCAGAAUCUACUUCCGGCCUGGUAUUUAGGGACCAGAGAUCAAGUUGGGCUCGUGCUACAGACUCCAAAUGCCAACAUAAAUAUCAACACAAGUCACUAAGUUUCUCAGGCACCGACACAGAAUGAAUCGACAAUGGCAGCCCCGCUCGACUCCGACUGAAGACACCUUCGCUGCGAAGCCAAAGUUUGGAUCAGAGGCUCUUCUCUCUCCGGGGAGCUUUGUUGUCUCUUUCCAACCGUGCAGAGGGUUACAGUGACAGCUCUGGGGUGUGGGACACGGGGAGAGUUGGUAUAAUCAAAGAAAUCCCAUAUUCUCACAAGUGGUAUCUUUGCAAAUAUUAUGACUGUCUAUUCACAAGGGAAGAAACUGGGGCAUGAGAAGCCCAGGACCACACGGCUCUUAAGUGUGGGAUCACACCACAGAGCUGAGCAUGACCGAGCCUUCGCCGUGAUGGCCAGCACGGCGGCGUUCCCUGUCGUGCUGUGAUGACUCCAGAGAAGAUUGGAGAAUUAAGCUCAUCUUACACGUUACAUCGGAGAUCCAGGAGGCAUGUGUUAGGACUCUCGAUUGAUCGUGAGAAGACUCCAGAAUGUUUCCAACUCAGUAUCUCUAGGUCUGGCUGUUGUACACCAUAAAACUGUAGGGAAAAAAAAAAAAAAACUCCACCUUUCUGAAUGCACAGUUUAUGUUAGUCGUGACAUUGGAUGUUUUACGCUCUUCAUGUGAUUUUAGAGCAGGUCUCCAGGGGCUAAAGUAACGGACACAUUCUCUCCUUGCACUAAAUUAUUAAAAUACUUUUAGUUUCCUGAUUAUCCCAAUUCCUUCUUUGCUGUUAGACCUUUUCACAUGCUUUUCUCUUUUUGAACCAACCUCCGUGCUCCUGGUUGCUUCUCCAUAGCCCUCUUCUCUGCAUUUAUGUUGGUACAUUCUGCUUGACUAAUCCCUGCUCAUCUCUCACUCCUCACUUCACGUUACCAUAUUGAAGUGGGACAGAUAUUUCUCCGUGGCGAUCCCAUCGCUCCCCACGUUUUACCCGUGGUAGCGUGUAUCAUUUGCUGAUGCGCAGUUUUCUGCAUUUUUCUGUAUACCCCAUAUGAUGAGACAGGUCGGGAUAUUGUAUGUCAUGGGUACUAUCGUAUCCCUUGAACCUAACAACAGAUGCUCAACACAUCCUUUUAGAAUGAAUGCAUAGGUGAGAUCGUGACUGGGUGAUCAGACUACGUAGAUUAAUCCCUCUAGUGGUUAAGAAAGUUCACGUUAAACCCUUUGCACUUAGAACCACUACGUUCAGGUCACUCAGUGCUUGAAAUAUUUACUUGAUACAGUCAAAUAGUCAUCCUGGAAAAAGCUUUAGAUCCCUGUCUAUAUUACCAAUAACCACUUCGGCCAUUUCUGAAUUUAGAAUGUUCCCCAUUGGAAGAACUCUACCCAGAAUUUGGUUCAGAUGUCAGGACCAAUGACACACAUACACAAUAGUCCAAGAGAGUAUGAAAAUGCUUAUUACUCACAAAAUGAGGCUUUCUGGGGAGGCCAAGGUGGAUCUUGAGAAAGUUCAAAGUGGCUUGAGGUAUUUUACGGCAUUUGGGGUGGGAGGCCUGGAGUAAAGGCUCCUGUGUAUGGCCUGGGGCUGCUGUGGUUUGAACUUCCAGAGUCAAAUGAGGGGGUGCCCAGGCUUUCUUAUCAGCCUGCCCAGAUAUGGGGCAGAAUGGAAAGAGGAAGGCUUGAUUAAAUAUUGUCAGCAAAUGCCAAAAAACGGAGUCAGACUCAACCUUGCAUAAUCUCAUCCCCCUGAGUGCGGGUGGGAUUUGUGACUUAUUUAUAACCAAAAUAAUAUGACAAAUAGAAUGAAAAGUAAUGGAUGACCUCCUUUAAAAUCAUUCCUGUGAUUAUACUAUGUCGAACCCAUUUUAGCACGUUGCAUCUAGAGGCUUGAUGAGUAAGGGGCCAGACUGGAGAAGUCCACGUGGCAAGGAGUUGUUGGUGGCCUCUGGGAGCCACAGGUAGCCCCUGCGGUCUGAUGGUGUCCUCCAGCCCGCAGCCAACAAGGAGGCAGUUCCUGAAUCCUGGGUCACAAGGAAACCGUUUCUGCCAGCAUCCUCAGUGGGCGUACACAUGGAUCCUUCCUCAGUCAAGCCUUCGGAUAAGAACAUAGCCCAAAGUGUGCUUGAUCACAGUCUUCAGACGCUGAGCAGAGGACCUAGCUAAGUCAUGCCCACACUUAUGACCCAUAAAAACUGUGAGUCAGUCAAUGUAUAUGUAGUUCCAAGUUGCAAUAUUUGUGAUCACUUGUCGUGCUGCAAUAGAAAAUUAAUAUACAUUCCAACCAAAUAAUCUGUCGCACACUUUCUCCAGAAUUGUGUUUUCAGCUAAUGUCAUACCACCACCAAUCCUUGCUCGCUGGUUUACAAAACCACUCAGUUAUUCUGCUACUCUGGUGAUUUGUUACAUUAGGGACCUUUUUAGGUUUCUCCAAGUCUUCAAGGCGGACCCAAGGAUCAUACAGCCAGGAAAAUGGUACCUUAAUAAUGCGUCGUAAUUGCUGAGAGCUCUUCAUAGUCAUUGCUUCCUGGAGUAUCUGUCAUGGGUUAUUCCAUUUAACCUGUACAAUAAAACAUGGGUGACAUCUCUUCCCCCCAUUCCACAGACAAGGAUAUGGGGAUUCACAGUUAGGGAACUUGUGAAAAAUAACCCAGCUAGUCAACUUCAUAUCUGGAAUUCAAGCCUAGACUUGUGCCUAGGAUGCACACUGUUUCUUUCCCAAGAGAGAGUUUUGGCCACUGGUAUCUCCUGGUGACGUUGCAGUUUAAAACACAUCUUAAAAUUUUGCUUUCGGAACCAGCGAUCUUUGUCAUAAGUUUAGGCUUCCCACAUUUAAAUAAGCCAGUGCCAUGACUAAAACUCCAAAAAUCAAAAGCAUGGACUUUUAUUUUCUCGAAACAAGGUAAGAUUUGUCUUCCCCAUGAUAUACCAGGCCUUCCGAGUUUUUGCUUUGGAGAAAUCUGCGUGUGUCCAUCUGCUUGCUUUUUACCCAGUGAUCUAUUCUCAUGACUUUAGGAUAUAGCAUGUCCUGCUCAAAGAAAAAUGCGAAGCAGAAACAAAUGAGCAAAAAACAACAAAAAAUUUUUUUUACAAGAACUAUUAAAGGAAAUCGGCUGGAACCAGAAAAAUCUGGGGGCAAAUUAAUUUUUUCCAAGGGAAGCCUACUACUAAGUUAUGCCUGGGCUGGAGAUGUAUUUGUUAAGUAGCAUUAAUGCAAGAAGAUAAUCUAGAUUUCCUUUUGAGUCUCUGGGAAGCAGUACGUCUCUUUGUUUAUCCCUCGUAUAAUUUAUU